ensembl:lncRNA
UCAAGGUCAGAAUACACAGACAGGGUGCUAUUCUCAUGCUGAUGUUCAAGGUCAGAAUACACAGACAGGGUGCUAUUCUCAUGCUGAUGUUCAAGGUCAGAAUACACAGACAGGGUUCUAUUCUCAUGCUGAUGUUCAAGGUCAGAAUACACAGACAGGGUACAUGAAAAGGGAAUAACGUUCCAUUUACGAGCUCUUACCUCGGGUCGGAUUCGGCCUGAUACAGCACAGACCUGAAAGUGAAUCAUAUUUGUGAAUGUAUUUAUUGUCCAGUGUUUCCAGGUGCUAAAGGAUUAUUAUGCCAGACUGAGAUAAGGGAUAUUCAUUAGGCUAUGAUACAUUAAACAACAGGCUGACUGACUGACUGACUG